UACGUAGGGUGCGAGCGUUUAAUCGGAAUUACUGGGCGUAAAGCGUGCGCAGGCGGUUAUGCAAAGACAGAUGUGAAAUCCCCGGGCUCAACCUGGGAACUGCAUUUUGUGACUGCAUGGCUGGAGUGCGGCAGAGGGGGGAUGGAAUUCCCGCGUGUAGCAGUGAAAAUCGUAGAUAUGCGGAGGAACACCGAUGGCGAAAGGGCAAUCCCCCUGGGCCUCACUGACU
rnacentral:rRNA from 1 species